AAUAUUGGACAAUGGGGGCAACCCUGAUCCAGCCAUGCCGCGUGUGUGAAGAAGGUCUUCGGAUUGUAAAGCACUUUACGUUGGGAGGAAGGGCUUUAGGCUAAUACCCCGAACUUUUUACGUUACCAACAGAUUAAGCACAGGCACACUCUGUGCCAGCAGCCGCGGUAAUACAGGGGGUGCAAGCGUUAAUCGGAAUUACUGGGCGUAAAGCGCGCGUAGGUGGUUCAGUAAGAUGGGUGUGAAAUCCCCGGGCUUAACCUGGGAACUGCUUUCAUAACUGCUGAGCUAGAGUACGGUAGAGGGUAGUGGAAUUUCCUGUGUAGCGGUGAAAUGCGUAGAUAUAGGAAGGAACACCAGUGGCGAAGGCGACUACCUGGACUGAUACUGACACUGAGGUGCGAAAGCGUGGGGAGCAAAC
rnacentral:rRNA from 1 species